rnacentral:rRNA from 1 species
GAUGAACGCUGGCGGCGUGCCUAACACAUGCAAGUCGAACGGAGAUUACGGACGGAAGUUUUCGGUUGGAAGCCUGUAAUUCUUAGUGUAGGACGGGGGAGUAACGCGUGGGCGAGGUGCACUAUACAGGGGGAUAGCAGCUGGAAACGGCUGGUAAGACUGAAUAAGUGGGUUAAGUCGCAUGAAUUGAUCGGGAAAUGAGCAAUCAGGUAUAGGAUGGGCUCGCGUCCGAUUAGCCGGUUGGGAGGGUAAAAGCGUACCAAAGUGACGAACGGUAGACGGACUGAGAGCACGGCCGGAAACAUUGGGAGUGAGAGCCGGACCAAACUCUUAGGGGAGGAAGAAGUGCGGGACAUUGCACAAUGGAGGAAACUAUGAUGCAGCCACGUCGUGUGAGUGAGGAAGUAUUUCGGUAUGUAAAGCUCUAUCAGAAGGGAAGAUGAUGACGGUACCUGACUAAGAAGCCCCGGCUAACUACGUG